GAACCACCGGCAUAUCGGACUUCUCCAAGUACCGCUGUGACCCGGAUGUGGAGCCACCCAGAAUGAUGCCACGUAAAUUCCCGGAUUUAAGUGUUGAAGAAGAAAACGAAAAAGUGUUCCCUAAAUUAUAGCAUAGCUGGUUCAGUGAGGAACUUUCACGGGCGGAUCCAGAAAUUUCUAAUUUGUUGGGGGGGGGGGAUUUUUUUUCAAAGUCAGGUGAUCAAGUGCCUGGCCAUUUACUUAUUUAAAGCGUAAUUAUAUGUCAAAUGUCUAAAUUAGAUUCUUGUGAUUGAAUGUGGUAUAUAUAUGAAUAGAUUUUACUGGAACAUUUCAUUUUUUCAGUUAGCUAUUUUUUGUUUAAAGUUUAAAUAUCUAUAUCAAUGGUCACUGUGUGAUUGAACUUUCAAAUUUCAAAUUGAUAUCAUUAAUAUGCAUGCAUUAAACUAGAUCUAUGUAAAUGUACUCAGCAUUUUGUCAUAUGAAAUAAUUUACAUGGAAUAAAAAUAAACCUUUUU
rnacentral:misc_RNA from 1 species